UCCACGGUGGUCCAGUGGUUAGGACUCAGUGCUUUCACUGCUGAGGACCUGGGUUCAAUCCCUGGUCAGGGAA
rnacentral:tRNA from 1 species